AUUGAACGCUGGUGGCAUGCCUUACACAUGCAAGUCGAACGGUAACAGGUCUUCGGAUGCUGACGAGUGGCGAACGGGUGAGUAAUACAUCGGAACGUGCCUAGUAGUGGGGGAUAACUACUCGAAAGAGUGGCUAAUACCGCAUGAGAUCUACGGAUGAAAGCAGGGGAUCGCAAGACCUUGUGCUACUAGAGCGGCCGAUGGCAGAUUAGGUAGUUGGUGGGAUAAAAGCUUACCAAGCCGACGAUCUGUAGCUGGUCUGGGAGGACGAUCAGCCACACUGGGACUGAGACACGGCCCAGACUCCUACGGGAGGCAGCAGUGGGGAAUUUUGGACAAUGGGCGAAAGCCUGAUCCAGCAAUGCCGCGUGCAGGAUGAAGGCCUUCGGGUUGUAAACUGCUUUUGUACGGAACGAAAAGCCCCGGGUUAAUACCCUGGGGUCAUGACGGUACCGUAAGAAUAAGCACCGGCUAACUACGUGCCAGCCGCCGCGGUAA
rnacentral:rRNA from 1 species